rnacentral:snoRNA from 1 species
CUUCUGUGAUGAUCUGAUGACGACGCAGAAACAGGCACUCUCUUGCUGGAAGCAAACAGCAUUGUGCCACGUUCUGUGGCGCCCUGCUGGCCUGCUCUGGCAGGUGUGUCCUCUUCAUUGGAUGACCCUGAGGCAUUUGUCUGAGAAGG